GACGAACGCUGGCGGCGUGCCUAAUACAUGCAAGUUGAGCGAUGAAGAUUGGUGCUUGCACCAAUUUGAAGAGCAGCGAACGGGUGGGUAACGCGUGGGGAAUCUGCCUUUGAGCGGGGGACAACAUUUGGAAACGAAUGCUAAUACCGCAUAAUAACUUUAAACAUAAGUUUUAAGUUUGAAAGAUGCAAUUGCAUCACUCAAAGAUGAUCCCGCGUUGUAUUAGCUAGUUGGUGAGGUAAAGGCUCACCAAGGCGAUGAUACAUAGCCGACCUGAGAAGGUGAUCGGCCACAUUGGGACUGAGACACGGCCCAAACUCCUACGGGAGGCAGCAGUAGGGAAUCUUCGGCAAUGGACGAAAGUCUGACCGAGCAACGCCGCGUGAGUGAAGAAGGUUUUCGGAUCGUAAAACUCUGUUGGUAGAGAAGAACGUUGGUGAGAGUGGAAAGCUCAUCAAGUGACGGUAACUACCCAGAAAGGGACGGCUAACUACGUG
rnacentral:rRNA from 1 species